GCGGCUUCGCGGGGGACCAAUCCACCCAGCCAUCCAGGCCUGCGCGGCCCCGCCGACCGCUACGCCCUCCGGUCAGCCGCCUUCUCUCCCUCCCUGCACCUCCUGCUGCCGCCACCGAGCCGAUGCCCCGCCACGGCGCCGAGGUAAUCCAUGCGCGUGGUGUCCAAGCAGGCCUACAUCUGCCGCGACUGCGGCUAUAACUACAAUGACAGGACGCCAUUUGAGAAGCUGCCUGAUAAGUACUUCUGUCCCGGCGAGUUCAACCUUUUCAUCAGCACAUUCAAUUAGCGCCUGCAAACGGAGUUCAAUCAUUAAACCGAGUUCAGUAAUCAUCAAAAUGCUUGCUCAAGGAAUUUUCUACCACCUGCAGUUUGUGGUGCCCCUAAAAGAAGAUUCGGGCCUUACGAACCAGCCGUAGCCAAGAACUCUAAUGACACCGACGUCCGUCAAGCAAGGAAGGCACAGAUCAAGAGAGAUGAAGCUAUCGGGUAACUUUCUACAACAACAAGCUGAAUCUAUUGUACCACCUAAUUAGAGAUGAGCAAAGAUCCUGUAGAUUUGUCAUCCUCCUGACUGUGUUCUGCAGGCGAGCAUUACCUGUUGCUGUUGUGCUUGGAGUUGCAGGAUUGGCUGGUCUUUACUUCUAUCUCAACAAUGUCUACUAGUCUGUCUAUGCAGGAGCAGCUCCUAGUUUGAGCCAGAAGCAAUUCACUGGAGAACUCCCGAACCUCUUUUUCCUGGUCCAAUUAGAGGUCCUGUGUUAUCGAAUCUCUUUACCUGCACAAAUGGUCAAAAGCAUUGUGCUUCUACAUUUAAGAUUUUGUUUGUCAAAACAGUGAGAUAAGGAAGUGAUGGUAAUAGUUGUUUUGUAAAGGCAAAACUGUUCAGAUGCAGCCAUGAAUCAGUAUAUAUUGGUAUGUCCAGCUUACAAUAUAGCAGCAGUCUUUGGAAUGAAUGAGAUAUGAAGCAAAAUUAUUUGAUGCAA